GUAACUGCUUUUCUGACAGACUUUGCAGAGUUUUCUGCAUUUAAUACAGUUUAUAAGAAAUACUUUCCAAAGGACUUUCCUGCUAGAUCAUCUGCGCAAGUAGUAGCCGCACCACUGGGCGCACAGUUAGAAGUUGACGCAAUAGCUGUUAUAAAUAAAUGCUGACGAGUUGGUUGAGACAACGAUUCAUGAAAGAUCUUCAAGGAUGCAAUGAAUAUAUUAAUAAAUAAAUGUUAA